rnacentral:rRNA from 1 species
UGCCAGCCGCCGCGGUAACACGGGGGGCGCAAGCGUUAUUCGGAAUUAUUGGGCGUAAAGGGCGCGCAGGCGGUCUUGUCCGUCAGGUGUGAAAGCUCGGGGCUCAACCCCGGAAGUGCACUUGAAACAGCAAGACUUGAAUACGGUAGAGGAGAGAGGAAUUCCUGGUGUAGAGGUGAAAUCUGUAGAUAUCAGGAAGAAUACCGGUGGCGAAGGCGAGCUUCUGGCCAGAUACUGACGCUGAGAUGCGAAAGCGUGGGGAGCGGACGGGAUUAGAUA